rnacentral:rRNA from 1 species
UACGUAGGGUGCAAGCGUUAUCCGGAAUUACUGGGCGUAAAGGGCGCGUAGGCGGUUUGUUAAGUUGGAUGUGAAAACUGUGGGCUCAACCCAUAGCCUGCAUCCAAUACUGACAGGCUAGAGUUCUGGAGGGGAUAGCGGAAUUCCUGGUGUAGCGGUGAAAUGCGUAGAUAUCAGGAGGAACACCGGUGGCGAAGGCGGCUAUCUGGACAGAGUCUGACGCUGAGGCGCGAAAGCUAGGGGAGCAAACAGG